GGGAAUCUGCCUGAUGGAGGGGGAUAACUACUGGAAACGGUAGCUAAUACCGCAUAACGUCGCAAGACCAAAGAGGGGGACCUUCGGGCCUCUUGCCAUCAGAUGUGCCCAAAUGGGAUUAUCUAGUAGGUGGGGUAACGGCUCACCUAGGCCACUAUCCCUAGCUGGUCUGAGAGGAUGACCACCCACACUGGAACUGAGACACGGUCCAGACUCCUACGGGAGGCAACAGUGGGGAAUAUUGCACAAUGGGCGCAAGCCUGAUGCACCCAUGCCGCGUGUAUGAAAAAGGCCUUCGGGUUGUAAAGUACUUUCAGCGGGGAGGAAGGCGUUGAGGUUAAUAACCUCAGCGAUUGACGUUACCCGCAGAAGAAGCACCGGCUAACUCCGUGCCAGCAGCCGCGGUAAUACGGAGGGUG
rnacentral:rRNA from 1 species